GAUGAACGCUAGCGGCAGGCCUAAUACAUGCAAGUCGGACGGGAUCGGGGAGCUUGCUCCCCGUGAGAGUGGCGCACGGGUGCGUAACACGUAUGUAACCUACCUUUAUCAGGGGGAUAGCCUCUCGAAAGAGAGAUUAACACCGCAUAACAUCACAUGAUAGCAUUAUCGAGUGAUCAAAUAUUCAUAGGAUAAAGAUGGGCAUGCGGGACAUUAGCUAGUUGGCGGGGUAACGGCCCACCAAGGCGACGAUGUCUAGGGGAUCUGAGAGGAUGACCCCCCACACUGGUACUGAGACACGGACCAGACUCCUACGGGAGGCAGCAGUAAGGAAGAUUGGUCAAUGGACGCAAGUCUGAACCAGCCAUGCCGCGUGCAGGAGGACGGCCCUACGGGUUGUAAACUGCUUUUGUACCGGAAUAAACCCUUUUACGUGUAAGAGGCUGAAUGUACGGUAAGAAUAAGGAUCGGCUAACUCCGUGCCAGCCGCCGCAGUAAAAC
rnacentral:rRNA from 1 species